rnacentral:lncRNA from 1 species
UAACGUACGAGGGUAACCAAUGUAAAAUAAAUUGAAUUUAAAUUUACUCCUUGUUCACCCAUGACAAGUUUGCCUUGUCAUGGUGGUGGACCCCACUCGAGCCUUCGAGCUACUCGACUUGCCAUGAGACCUUCACCUGGUCGGACUCUCCUCUGGUCCAUGAUUCAGACAUCUUGCCACAUCCGUGAGUCUUACCCUAACUUCUUGUAUUUCUUUUA